AUUGUUGGAAUCUUGCCCUUGACCUAUGAGCUGCAAUGCUAGCUUAUAGAGCUUGGAUCUUUGAAUUGUUUUCAUCCUCUUCCUCCCUUUUGCUGCAUGACAGACAUUCUGCUCAGGACAGAGUCAUGGGGUGCUUGAGGUCUACAAUUACUGUAGUUGUUAUGCUUGUCUCUUUGAUUUCUCUGGAGGACUUCCUUAGCCUUGCUCAUAGAGAUUUGAACAAGAACAAUAUUGUGAUUCUUAAGAGCGAUGAGGGACUAGUUCAGGCCAAGCGAUGGUACAGAGGGAGGAGAAUGGUGAUCGAAGACGAAAAAAGCAGCAUGAAGCAGAGUACAGGUGCAAAUCCCAGCUCUGAGAGAAAAUGUGGGCGUGGAGAAGAGAAGGAACCGAGAGUAGGGUGUGAGUUGAGCAGUAGAAUUCGCCCUUCUUCUAGACUACACUUUGCUGGGCUUAUACCUUUCAGCGCAGAUUACCGUGCGCCAAAAAACCACCCUCCAAAGAACAACUAAAACCGAAAGGCAGGGUUGUUAAGCCAUUUACAUAUGUCUUGAGGGGAUGCUAAGAACACUUUAACCAAGUUGCUUCAGUCAUCAAACACAGAGGAAUCUAGUACCAGCACUACCAAACCCCACUUGAGAAGUGAAAGAAAUAAAGCAAGUGAGAUACAA